GGCUGUUAAGUGAGAGCUGAUUAGCCUGAAGAUCAACAUGUGCCAGCAGCUGUGGGCUUGCGAGUCAUUUGUCAGCGUGCUGGAGCACCUUCUUGCUGUGGGCAAUUACCUCAACCAGAAUGCAGGCAGGGAGAGGGCCAAGGGAUUUUGCUUCUCAUCCUUAACUAAGCUCCCUCAGCUGCGUGGGAACAAUCGGAAGUUCACCUUGCUGCAUGCCCUAGUGGAGCAGAUCAUGUUGCAAGAACCACGUUUGGCCACCUUUUUCCUUGAGCUUGUGGAAUUCGACCUCAGUUAAAGGCCUGACAGCAGAGGUGGACGAUGGUCAUCGAGAAGUAUGAGAGUGAUCUCAGCCAGCUGAUGAAGAGGAGUGAAGAGAUGAGGAAGCUCU